GGCUUUUUCGAUAACGCCUCGUUCGAUUCGACCACUUUACCACUCACAGGACUCGCGAUCUCCGAUGCUGCCUUCACGGACUCAAGGGCCCCGCACUCGUCUGGAAUAUGGAACAAAUUUCAAUUUCGUCGAUACCAAGAAUUUCGUCGAUCUGCUCGAAGCCUUUCUGGAGUUAAUAUUUUAAUACGUGAAUUUUAGUACGUGGACGAAAUUUGAGACAGUUUUGCAUUCGAGGAAAUAAGUGUUGUAAGAGAUUUGUAAAAUUUACCAUCUUUUUCAAUCGAAGCUCCAACUUCGGGCAAUUGAGCAAAAACAACGUCGCCGAGCGCAUCCUGAGCAUAAUCCGAGAUUCCUACCGUACCAACUUUGUCCUUGACCUCGAUCCACUCGUGACUGCUGGUGUACCAUCGUUCUAUAAAUUAAAAAUACAAUGAGUUUGUUAAACGAAAAA